CGUGCCUCGGCAUCAGCG
rnacentral:snRNA from 1 species